ensembl:lncRNA
CUUCAAUAAAUACCUGAUUGUAACUGUUUACAUGUGGAUUUUGGGCUCUUCUCGCGAUUGUGCAGGAUCAAGCCUAUGGGGGAUGAAGACGGCCUUUACCCGACCCUGUGUUUGGCAGCUGAAUAAAACAGCUAUCAUCCCACCUUUAGAGGAAUUGAGUGUCUGCGUCAACCUCAUGAGAACGAUUAGCAAUUCUGAAUGGACUGCUUUUGACUACAAAGGUCCAGGUCAACAUCACAUGGAGUUUGGCUUAGCUGGAAAUAUGGGCAAUGUAAUAGCCUCUCUUUUUGGAGAAAAAUGGACAGUUGCUUAUGACAUGCCCAUAAAAAUGUGGCACACAGUUUGUCUGACAUGGUCGAGUCACAAUAGGCUUUUCCAUGUGAUCAUUAAUGAAGCAGUUUUUGAAUUUCCCUUGAAUGAAAAUUCACCCAAGUACCUUGCCGCAAAUGGUACCCUGAGUUUGGGAGUGUCACAUAAUUUUGUUGGAGGUUCUAUUGAUUUUGAGACUGGGAAGAACUUUUUGGGUUACAUGUCCUUGUUCCGGAUGUGGGGAUUGCAGAUGAACCCACAGCAGCUGGAUGCACACAGAUGUGUAGAUGGGAAUAUUGUGACUUGGAGAGAGCAAGAUUGGGAUUAUCAGAAGUGUCCACCCAUUCCCGAUGACAACUUUCUUUGUGGUGAGAAAUUUCUCUCUGUAAAGAGUACAAGACUAUUUAUAGAAGAGGAAAUAUGGAAUGAAUGUUACAAUAACUUGUGUUAUAUGAUGAAAUGCAUUAUUAUCAAUGCAUUCUAAUUAACUGUAUCUUCACCUCAUUUCAGAAUCAUCAAAAUAUAAAAUUCAAAUGAACACAGCUAUUACACAAAAUGUCAUUAAUAAUACUGAAAAUGAUAUCCAGGAGAUUGUUUUAAUCUGGGUAAGAUAAUAUUUCCAUAUAUGUGUGUAUAUAAUGUUAUAAUAUAUAUAACAUUUAACAUUUUCACUUACACAUUAGCAUUAAUAUACUGAAUUUAUAUAUUUUUAAUUUCAGCUGAAGCAAGUUUUCCCUCAGAAAAUAUCAGUGCAUUCUGUGUUCCUGUCAAAUUUAAGGUAAUUAUUUAAUUUUUAAAACUAACUAACCAAUGAGCAAACAUACAUACAUAAAUAUCCAAAUAUUUGUACAACUUGCAAUAUGUAAGCAUGUGAUGUUAUAUGUUAUCCAUGCAAUUUUAUGUUAUUUUAUUGUUUAAGAGAAGUGCCAAAAUUUAGCCCACGAACAGGAGCUGGUUUAGCUGGACAACAUAUGGAGGAAAUCCAGGUAUACCAUAUACCAUAAUUAUUCAUGAUUAAGUGGCCAUAUAUAAUUUAUAUCCUUAUAUUAUAACACUUUAUGCUUCUUUGAAGGGCACUGUAAAGUCACCAAUCAAGACACAAUGGUAAAAAUGAUCAUACACCUGCAAUACACAAAUAUAAGUCACAAGUUUAUAUCAAACCAUCUGAAGGAGGAUUUGUCAUGUUUGUGGCCUUAGGUUUGAUUGUGUGGUGUUUGUGAGAGUGAUACCUGCAGCUGAUGUGAGGGAAACAGUGUCUAAGAUACAGGGGCUGUUAAUACCCAUCUAUAGCUACAACAACAUCCUCCUGAAAACAAACCCAGCAUCCAUAAACAUCCUCUCAGUAGGUACGUAGCUGUAUGUAAGGGGUUGGAAGAGGAACAUUCAGUCAACAACAAAGUCAGUGUUUUGAAUUUUACAGCUGUCUUUCCCAACGUGACUUCAAAUCCUGCUUUGAGGACCACUGUUGCACCAGUCUCAAGUACAAAUAUUACAAUAUCAGGUCUGUGCCAUUCAGAGCUUCAUAAAUCAUCAAGUAAAUGCUUUUAUAAAUCCAGAAGCCUUUUCACCAUAAUUCAUAUAAAAAAGUAGGCUAUUAAAAACUCACAUUGCUUUUCAAGAGCUCAUAUGCAAAACAUUUUGUUCUUCAGGAACUCGCACAUCAUCACAAACACUGGCAAUGGAAAAUAUCUGUUUAAUCACUUCAGGCUUAAUUUCAAACAGAGGUGAGUUAGACAAUGACAUAUUUUUGUAUGGUUUGUACAUUGUGGAUAUACCAGAAUCUCAUUUGAAAAACAAAUGAAGUGACAACUACGUAAAACAUAUUUGAAUGCAGGUUUUAU